UAUUUUGACAUCAAUUCAAUUCAGCUCCUCCACUGUUAGAGAAUCAAUUUUCACUCCAAUUCUAUGUGAUUGUAUCCGGUGAUCGUAGGAGAGAGACGCCUCCAAAACACUGUCCGCACCGGCUGUUGAAUCUCCCUCCGAUAUCAUGUUUCAUUCACACCGUCUCAGAGCUCUUGUCUACCUCAACCAUCUCUCUUCAUCUCCAAAAUCUCACUACCUUCUUCACUCUCUCACUCCCUUCUCCACCACUUCAGAUUCCGACCAAAAAUCUUUCACCAUAUCCUACCUCACCAACAACUGCGGCUUAUCCCCACAAGACGCUCUCAAAGCAUCCAAACGACUCCGUUUAACUUUCACCACCCCCGAAAAACCCAACUCCGUCAUCGCCUUCUUCAAAGCCCACGGUUUCUCCAACCACCACAUCCAGUCCAUCAUCCUCAAGAACCCCGAGCUCAUCCUCUCCAACCCCACCAAAACCAUUCUCCCAAAGUUUCAAUUUUUAGCCUCCAAAGGCGCUUCCCCCUCCGACAUAGUCGCCGCCGUCACCAGAAGCUCUCGUUUCCUCCGUGUAAGCCUCGAGAAACACAUUAUCCCCGCUUUUGAAUUGGUACGAGGUUUCUGUCCCUCUGAUAAAAAAGCUAUUACUUCAAUCAUCAUUUGUCCGGCUUCAAUCAGUGAUAUUCGCAUGAAACCUAAUGUUCAGUUUUUACUCAAUUUUGGGGUUAAUCAUUCUAGUAUUUACCAUUUGCUUAGUACUAGACCUUCUGUGAUUUGUUCUACUGAUUUGAGGGAGGUUGCGGAGGAGAUUAAGGGAUUAGGGUUUCAUCCUUCAAAAUACAAUUUUUGUGUGGCAUUAUUAGCCAAAAGGGGUAUUACUAAAUCCCAAUGGGAUGCCAAAGUUGAUGUCUUGAAGAAAUGGGGUUGGUCCCAAGAUGAGAUUUUGCAUGCAUUUAAAAAGAACCCUAAGAUUAUGCUACGGUCUGCGGAGAAACUCAACGCGGUCAUGAGUUUUUGGAUCAAGCAGCUUGGUUGGGAUCCUGCAGUGCUCUUGGCAGCGCCGGAUCUAUUUGGAUUUAGUCUAGAGAAAAGGCUUAUUCCGAGGGCUUCUGUUGUCCGGUAUCUGUUAUCUAAAGGUUUGGUGAAGAAGAGUGCUAGUUUGUAUACGCCGUUUAAUUUCUCGGACGAGUUGUUCAUGAAAAAGUAUGUGAAUUGUUAUGAGGAAGAAGCUUCUAAGCUAUUAAGGCUAUAUCAGGGGAAGGAUGCUAGUUUAUAGUGUUUGGAUAAGUUGUGAGUUCAUAUUAUGUGUGUUCUUCUCACAUUGCUGCAUUGGGAUGAACAAAUGUCGAAAUACUUUGAGCAGCUCGCUCUAGCUUGGAUGACCAUUUGGCACACUUGUGUGGGUUGAAUUCGACAUAACAUCAAUGGGUUCUUGAUGAUUAUAAUGAGAGCAGGACAAUGAACUUGUGAUAGCUGACUUCAUAAGACUUGGUGGUUGUUGUUGUCGGGCAAUAAACUUGUGAGCUUAUUGUUGCGUACUCUUUGCGACAUAUCAGUUUCUGUUCAUAUGCUGUUAGAAUUGGAUAUUUUUCUACUUGUGAUGUAGUAAUUGUCUUUGAUUUGAAUGGAUAUGUUGGUAACUAGUACGCCAUAUAUGAUUCAUUGUUAGACUAUUAUUUGUCUUUUAAA